CUUGCUGUUACCGUGACCUGUAUGUAUAACUUAAACCUAUCAAGUCUACCAUCAGCUAUUUGUUUUGGGGGGCACACAUCGCUUACAAAGCCCCUUUGACAAAUAUGAUAAAUGACAAAUGUGAAAUUCUACAAUACAAAUAGAGAAAAAACAGGCAAAAGAAUUCCAAUAGCAGGAGGAAUGAAACUUUUUGAAUUAUAGAAAACCAGUGCCAGCAUGACAGUGGUGCAAAAGAUUAUGAGCAAUAGCAUCCCUAGCCUUCAUUGAGUUUACUGAUCUCAAGGCAACCUCAGGCACCAUCUCAUCAUCAACAAGCUCAAUCUUCAGCUUUGGAUCCAGUUCCUCUUUACGCCUUUCACAGAUAUUAUGCAACACACAGCAU
rnacentral:misc_RNA from 1 species